rnacentral:rRNA from 1 species
AGAGUUUGAUCCUGGCUCAGAACGAACGCUGGCGGCGUGCCUAACACAUGCAAGUCGAACGGGAUUAAGGGGCUUGCUCCUUAAUCUAGUGGCGCACGGGUGAGUAAUGCGUAGAUAAUCUACCUGAUGAUCUGGGAUAACAUUCCGAAAGGAGUGCUAAUACCGGAUAAGCUCACGGGGUCUUCGGACCCUGCGGGAAAAGGGGGGGACCUUCGGGCCUUCUGUCAUCAGAUGAGUCUACGUACCAUUAGCUAGUUGGUGGGGUAAGGGCCUACCAAGGCGACGAUGGUUAGCUGGUCUGAGAGGAUGAUCAGCCACACUGGAACUGAGACACGGUCCAGACUCCUACGGGAGGCAGCAGUGGGGAAUUUUGCGCAAUGGGGGAAACCCUGACGCAGCAACGCCGCGUGAGUGAUGAAGGCCUUCGGGUCGUAAAGCUCUGUCUAGAGGAAAGAAGUGUUUGGGUGCUAAUAUCGCCUGAACUUGACGGUACCUCUGAAGGAAGCACCGGCUAACUCCGUGCCAGCAGCCGCGGUAAUACGGAGGGUGCGAGCGUUGUUCGGAUUUAUUGGGCGUAAAGCGCGUGUAGGCGGUUUCUUAAGUCUGAUGUGAAAGCCCCGGGCUCAACCUGGGAAGUGCAUUGGAUACUGGGAGACUUGAAUACGGGAGAGGGUAGUGGAAUUCCUAGUGUAGGAGUGAAAUCCGUAGAUAUUAGGAGGAACACCGGUGGCGAAGGCGGCUACCUGGACCGAUAUUGACGCUGAGACGCGAAAGCGUGGGUAGCAAACAGGAUUAGAUACCCUGGUAGUCCACGCCGUAAACGAUGAGUACUAGGUGUUGCGGGUAUUGACCCCUGCAGUGCCGCAGCUAACGCAUUAAGUACUCCGCCUGGGAAGUACGGUCGCAAGACUAAAACUCAAAGGAAUUGAUGG